UACCUGUGCAGGGAAAAGAUAGAACGCAAACACUAUCUCAUCUUUGGAUCCACUGAGGUGGGUGAGAUCUCUAAUCAUGGGGCUUAUCAUAGGUUAAGAUUGGCUUAAAAAUGAAGUAAUGUAUGAUUUGUUUUUUUCUUUUUUACUUUUCUUAAGAUUCUUUUACCUGGAAUUUUCCUUUCCUGCAUGUAGCAAAGAAAAAAGGGAUCUGGCUUUUCUUUCUUUUUUUUCCUGAAGGUUUCUGCUUUGAUAGAUUCUUCUUCAGAUUGAGAGAAAUGGGGGGUCUGCUUGGGAAUCUUGUCCCUGUCCCUGAAUACUUCUGGUGACAUCGAUUUUGCAAAUCCUUUACUUUCUUCGAUCUGGUCUGUUUGGAUUCCACCGUUUUUGCAGUUUUGCAGUCUGCCUUAGGGAAUCAAUUAUGCAAAGCUAGAAAAUCUGUGUCCAAUUAUAGGACCCUGGCAGUUUUACAGGACCUAAGAUCUUUUGGUCUAGUUCUAGUCUCUCGACUGAAGCUACUGGCUAUGGACUGAACUUUGCGAGCCCAAAGUCAGCAACUUUUGGCUUGAAGUUGUCAUCAAGGAGAAUGUUGUGAGGCUUGAUGUCAAAAUGUAGAAUCUUCAUGUC